GAUGAACGCUGGCGGCGUGCUUAACACAUGUAAGUCGAACGGAAAGGCUCCUGCUUGCAGGGGUACUCGAGUGGCGAACGGGUGAGUAACACGUGGGUGAUCUGCCCUGCACUUCGGGAUAAGCCUGGGAAACUGGGUCUAAUACCGGAUAGGACGAUGGUUUGGAUGCCAUUGUGGAAAGUUUUUUCGGUGUGGGAUGAGCUCGCGGCCUAUCAGCUUGUUGGUGGGGUAAUGGCCUACCAAGGCGUCGACGGGUAGCCGGCCUGAGAGGGUGUACGGCCACAUUGGGACUGAGAUACGGCCCAGACUCCUACGGGAGGCAGCAGUGGGGAAUAUUGCACAAUGGGCGCAAGCCUGAUGCAGCGACGCCGCGUGGGGGAUGACGGCCUUCGGGUUGUAAACUCCUUUCGCUAGGGACGAAGCGCAAGUGACGGUACCUGGAGAAGAAGCACCGGCUAACUACGUG
rnacentral:rRNA from 1 species